rnacentral:misc_RNA from 1 species
AAAUGCGAUAAGUAGUGUGAAUUGCAGAAUUCAGUGAAUCAUCGAAUCUUUGAACGCACAUUGCGCCCUAUGGUAUUCCGUAGGGCAUGCCUGUUCGAGCGUCAUUUACACCUUCAAGCCUUGCUUGGUGUUGGGUGACUGUGGCCCCUUUGGGGCCACUCGCCUUAAAGUCAUUGGCGGCCGGUUCGUUGGCUUUGUAGCGCAGCACAAUCGCGUCCUCGAAGCCGCUGGACCAGCUCCCAGAAGCUAAUUUUAAAUGUUUGACCUCGAAUCAGGUAGGGAUACCCGCUGAACUUAAGC